UUCUGAACGUAGGGGACGACCGCUUUUAUUAGACCAAAAUCAAUCGGGCCUCGUGUCCGUUGAACGUGGUGACUCUGUAUAACUUUGGGCUGAUCGCACGGGCUCGUCCCGGCGACGUAUCUUUCAAGUGUCUGCCUUAUCAACUGUCGAUGGUAGGUUACGCGCCUACCAUGGUCGUAACGGGUAACGGGGAAUCAGGGUUCGAUUCCGGAGAGGGAGCCUGAGAAACGGCUACCACAUCCAAGGAAGGCAGCAGGCGCGCAAAUUACCCACUCCCAGAACGGGGAGGUAGUGACGAAAAAUAACAAUACGGGACUCUUUUGAGACCCCGUAAUUGGAAUGAGUACACUCUAAAUCCUUUAGCGAUUAUCAAUUGGAGGGCAAGCCUAGUGCCAGCAGCCGCGGUAAUUCUAGCUCCAAUAGCGUAUAUUAAAGUUGUUGCGGUUAAAAAGCUCGUAGUUGGAUCUGAGUUCCAGACGGGCGGUCCGCCUACCGGCGGUAACUGCCCGUUCUGAACAGGCCAGCCGGUUUCCCUUGAUCAUCUUCACCGGUUGUCUCGGGUGACCGGCAAGUUUACUUUGAAAAAAUUAGAGUGCUCAAAGCAGGCGUGACGCCUGAAUAAUGGUGCAUGGAAUAAUGGAAUAGGACCUCGGUUCUAUUUUGUUGGUUUUCGGAACACGAGGUAAUGAUUAAUAGGGACAGACGGGGGCAUUCGUAUUGCGACGCUAGAGGUGAAAUUCUUGGACCGUCGCAAGACGAACUACUGCGAAAGCAUUUGCCAAGAAUGUUUCCAUCAAUCAAGAACGAAAGUUAGAGGAUCGAAGGCGAUCAGAUACCGCCCUAGUUCUAACCAUAAACGAUGCCAGCCAGCGAUCCGGCUGUGUUCCUCAAAUGACACGCCGGGCAGCUUCCGGGAAAAACUAUUAGCUAGGUUCCGGGGGAAGUAUGGUUGCAAAGCUGAAACUUAAAGGAAUUGACGGAAGAGCACCACAAGGCAUGGAGCUUGCGGCUUAAUUUGACUCAACACACGGGAGCCUACCCGGCCCGGACACAGGAAGGAUUGACAGAUUAAGAGCUCUUUCUUGAUUCUGUGGGUGGUGGUGCAUGGCCGUUCUUAGUUGGUGGGGCGACUUGUCUGGUCAAUUCCGAUAACGAACGAGACUCUAGCCUACUAAAUAGACGAUCCGAUCCUUCGAGUCGGACGUUCUUCUUAGAGGGACAGGCGGCGUUUAGCCGCACGAGACAGAGCAAUAACAGGUCUGUGAUGCCCUUAGAUGUCCGGGGCCGCACGCGUGCUACAUUGAAGGAAUCAUCGUGUGCUUUCCCUGUCCGAAAGGACUGGGUAACCCGUUGAAACUCUUUCGUGCUGGGGAUAGGGGAUUGUAAUUAUCCCCCUUGAACGAGGAAUGCCCAGUAAGCGCGAGUCACCAGCUCGCGUUGAUUGCGUCCCUGCUCUUUGUCCACACCGCCCGUCGCUAUGACCGAUUGAAUGAUUUAGUGAGGUCUUCGGACUGGCGCUCGGAUUGGCCUUCGGGUCGAGCCGACGUGCCGGAAAGAUGACCGAACUUGAUUAUUUAGAGGACAUAAAAGUCGUAACAAGGUUACCGUAGGUGAACCUGCG
rnacentral:rRNA from 1 species